GAGAAGCUGGCGUUCGGAGCCAGCCUUUCCAGCCUCACUCCUCGUGGCUUGUCCUCGCAGUGGGUGCAGGUUGCAGGAACAGCCGGGACAGAUGGUCCCUCUGCGGGCCCCUCGCCUCCACCCACAUGCCUGUCUGGAAAGUGGCUUUGGCUUAGCUGUACCAGAGCUUCUUCCUGGAGGAAACUCAAAGCCAAUUGUUGGGAAGUAUCUGCGGGGACUGUGUCCAGGGGCAGAGGGCCCACCCAGGGUACCUCGUGGAGAAGGGAGAGAAGGGAGACCAGGGCAUCCCUGGUGUGCCAGGCCUCGACAACUGCGCCCAGUGCUUUUUGUCACUGGAGCGCCCAAGAGCCGAGGAGGCCCGGGGUGACAACAGUGAGGGAGAUCCUGGCUGUGUUGGGAGCCCAGGCCUACCUGGUCCUCCGGGAUUGCCAGGCCAGAGAGGAGAAGAGGGUCCGCCUGGCAUGAGGGGCUCCCCGGGUCCUCCAGGCCCUAUCGGCCCCCCAGGUUUUCCUGGUGCUGUUGGCUCCCCCGGAUUGCCUGUAAGAACCUAGCGCUGCUCGACCUCCCCUCCCCCCCGUCAGCCAGGGCCUUCAAGGAGAGCGAGGUCUCACGGGCCUGACUGGAGACAAGGGGGAGCCGGGUCCUCCAGGGCAACCAGGUUACCCAGGUGCCACGGGCCCCCCAGGACUGCCUGGCAUCAAGGGGGAGCGUGGCUACACCGGGUCAGCGGGAGAGAAAGG
rnacentral:lncRNA from 1 species